rnacentral:rRNA from 1 species
CCUACGGGGGGCAGCAGUGAGGAAUAUUGGUCAAUGGACGAGAGCCUGAACCAGCCACGUAGCGUGAAGGAUGAAUGCCCUAUGGGUUGUAAACUUCUUUUAUAAGGGAAUAAAACGCGGCACGUGUGCCUUUUUGCAUGUACUUUAUGAAUAAGGAUCGGCUAACUCCGUGCCAGCAGCCGCGGUAAUACGGAGGAUCCGAGCGUUAUCCGGAUUUAUUGGGUUUAAAGGGAGCGUAGAUGGGUUGUUAAGUCAGUUGUGAAAGUUUGUGGCUCAACCAUAGAAUUGCAAUUGAUACUGGCAGGCUUGAGUACAUUUGAGGUAGGCGGAAUUCGUGGUGUAGCGGUGAAAUGCUUAGAUAUCACGAAGAACCCCGAUUGCGAAGGCAGCUUACUAAACUGUGACUGACAUUGAUGCACGAAAGUGUGGGGAUCAAACAGGAUUAGAUACCCUAGUAGUC